UGAUGAUGAUGAUGAUGAUGAUGAUGAUUAUGACCAUAAUGCGAAGUAAUCGAUAAUAACAAUCAAUAAAUCAAUGAAUCAUCAUCAUCGUGAUCAUCAUCAUCAUCAUCAUAA
rnacentral:miRNA from 1 species